AUGAAGCAGAAGUUCAGCGGGAUGAAGUCUCACGACUGUCACGUGCUGAUGACGCAGAUACUUACAGUUGCAAUCCAUGGGAUCAUGGACGCGCACGUCCGUGAAACACUAUUUGGCCUAUGCAACUUUUUUGAUGUCAUCUCUCAGAAGUCGGUUGGCGUGAGGAAACUCAGAAGGCUACAGGAAGAGAUCGUGGUGAUACUAUGCGAGCUUGAGAUGUACUUACCGCCCGCAUUCUUCGAUGUUAUGGUGCAUCUGCUGGUCCAUAUCGUGGAGGAUAUCAUCCAACUCGGGCCGACGUUCCUGCACAACAUGAUGAUGUUCGAAAGGAUGAAUGGUGUCAUCAAAGGAUACGUUCGCAACAUGUCACGUCUAGAGGAAAGCAUAGCCAGGGGCUUUCUGACCGAAGAGUGCGUCUCCUACUGCAGGAAUUAUCUAGGCAUCGAGAACCCCGUUGGUCUGCCUGUCAACAGGCACCUCAGCAGGCUCGCUGGAUGGGGUCACCACAAUGGUCGCUGCGAAAUGCAUGUCGACUUUGACGGUCGACUCGCCGACUUUGAAAGAGCAAACCUAGUCAUGCUACAACACAUAGACGUGGUCGAUCCUUGGGUGGUAGAGCACAAAACCUUUAUUGAGAAGACGUACAAUGACCAAGGCCAACAGAGGACGGAAGGAGAUAUAAUCAAAGAGCACAACUCAUGUUUCACGCGUUGGUUCAACGAGAAGCUUCUGUCGUACCCUUUACAUGAGGAUUCUUCUGCGGAAGAAAAACUCAUAUUCACCUUGUCACAGGGCGCCGAGCACAACCUGAUGACCUAUGAGGCGUACGAUAUCAACGGCUACACAUUCUACACCGAGGACAAGGACAUGAAGAGCGAUGGUUAUCAGAACUCUGGGGUAACGAUGGAAUCCUACACCGGUAACGACAAGGACAGAUACUACGGAAGGAUCGAGGAGAUCUGGGAGCUGAGCUACGCUGGAAAGAAGGUCCCGAUGUUCCGUGUUAGAUGGGCCAAGAGCGUCCUAAAAGAAGACAGGUAUUUCACCACCAUGGUUAUACCCGAAGCCAAAUCCAAGACCGUGGGCGCAAACGUCACCGCGAAAAAUGAGCCAUGGGUACUGGCUUCCCAAGUGGACCAAUGCUUCUUCAUUACCGACCCGUCAAAGCCCAGUCGUGUUGUCGUGAGGAGAGGCAAAAGGAAGAUCAUCGGAAUGGAUGGAGUCGCCAAUGAGCAAGACUUCGACAAGUACGGUGACCCGAAGAUGGAACAUGACGACGACGAUGAAGUGACAUACACCACAAGAAGAAGCAGGACCACCCUACCUAAAGGACGUCCGUUCAACAGAAGAACUCCACUUGCAAAAAAGAAGGGCAAGAAGAUUGUGAAAAGAUAG
rnacentral:rRNA from 1 species